AGAGAUGGAUUGGUGGCCUUCGGGAACGUCUGACACAGGUGCUGCAUGGCUGUCGUCGGCUCGUGUCGUGAGAUAGUUGGGUUAAGUCCGUAACGAGCGCAACCCUUGUCCUUAGUUACCAGCACGUUAUGGUGGGCACUCUAAGGAGACUGCCGGUGACAAACCGGAGGAAGGUGGGGAUGACGUCAAGUCAUCAUGGCCCUUACGGCCUGGGCUACACACGUGCUACAAUGGUCGGUACAAAGGGUUGCCAAGCCGCGAGGUGGAGCUAAUCCCAUAAAACCGAUCGUAGUCCGGAUCGCAGUCUGCAACUCGACUGCGUGAAGUCGGAAUCGCUAGUAAUCGUGAAUCAGAAUGUCACGGUGAAUACGUUCCCGGGCCUU
rnacentral:rRNA from 1 species